CUACCGGGGUAUCUAAUCCUGUUUGAUCCCCACGCUUUCGUGCCUCAGUGUCAAUGUUCCUGUAGCAAGCUGCCUUCGCAAUUGGUGUUCUAUGUCAUAUCUAAGCAUUUCACCGCUACAUGACAUAUUCCGCUUACCUCCAGAAAAUUCAAGAGCUAUAGUAUCAAUGGCAGUUUCCAUGUUAAGCACGGAGAUUUCACCACUGACUUACAGACCCACCUACGCACCCUUUAAACCCAGUGAAUCCGGAUAACGCUUGCACCCUCCGUAUUACCGCGGCUGCUGGCAC
rnacentral:rRNA from 1 species